rnacentral:tRNA from 1 species
GCCACCGUAGCUCAGUUGGUAGAGCAACUGAUUCGUAAUCAGUAGGUCGGGAGUUCGACUCUCCCCGUUGGCU